rnacentral:rRNA from 1 species
AAUUUUGGACAAUGGGGGAAACCCUGAUCCAGCCAUCCCGCGUGUGCGAUGAAGGCCUUCGGGUUGUAAAGCACUUUUGUCAGGGACGAAAUCGUACAGGCUACUAUCUUGUGCGGAUGACGGUACCUGAAGAAUAAGCCCCAGCUACCUACGUGCCAGCAGCCGCGGUACUACGUAGGGUGCAAGCGUUAAUCGGAAUUACUGGGCGUAAAGGGUGCGCAGGCGGUUUAUCAAGAAAGGUGUGAAAUCCCCGGGCUUAACCUGGGAAUGGCACUUUUAACUAAUAGGCUAGAGUAUGUCAGAGGGGGGUAGAAUUCCACGUGUAGCAGUGAAAUGCGUAGAUAUGUGGAGGAAUACAGAUGGCGAAGGCAGCCCCCUGGGAUGAUACUGACGCUCAGACACGAAAGCGUGGGGAGCAAACAG